rnacentral:tRNA from 1 species
GCCCGGAUAGCUCAGCCGGUCAGAGCGCCGCUCUUGUAAAGCGGAGGUCGAGGGUUCGACCCCCUCUCCGGGCU